rnacentral:lncRNA from 1 species
CAUGGGAUAAAAAGACUGAAAAGAACUGGUGAUUAAAGUCACUAAACCGUUCCAUUUUGUGAGAUUAAAUACGGGUGCCGUUCUACCAAAAAAUAAAAAUAAAAAUAAAAAAUACGGGUGCCGUUGUAUCAACGCCCGACAACUGGCGACGUAUGGAGUGAGGCGACCUCGGAUCCACCUCGGAUCCACGAGGCCAGCUUGUCGUCGA